GAUGAACGCUGGCGGCGUGCCUAAUACAUGCAAGUCGAACGAAACUUCUUUAUCACCGAGUGCUUGCACUCACCGAUAAAGAGUUGAGUGGCGAACGGGUGAGUAACACGUGGGCAACCUGCCCAAAAGAGGGGGAUAACACUUGGAAACAGGUGCUAAUACCGCAUAACCAUAGUUACCGCAUGGUAACUAUGUAAAAGGUGGCUAUACUACCGCUUUUGGAUGGGCCCGCGGCGCAUUAGCUAGUUGGUAGGGUAAAGGCUUACCAAGGCAAUGAUGCGUAGCCGAAUUGAGAGAUUGAUCGGCCACAUUGGGACUGAGACACGGCCCAAACUCCUACGGGAGGCAGCAGUAGGGAAUCUUCCACAAUGGGCGAAAGCCUGAUGGAGCAACGCCGCGUGGGUGAAGAAGGUCUUCGGAUCGUAAAACCCUGUUGUUAGAGAAGAAAGUGCGUGAGAGUAACUGUUCACGUUUCGACGGUAUCUAACCAGAAAGCCACGGCUAACUACGUG
rnacentral:rRNA from 1 species